rnacentral:rRNA from 1 species
AGCGAACGCUAGCGGCGGGCCUAACACAUGCAAGUCGAGCGGAGAACUUCGGUUCUUAGCGGCGGACGGGUGAGUAACGCGUAGGUAAUGUGCCUUCUGGUGGGGAACAACCGUGCGAAAGCAUGGCUAAUACCGCAUAUGUCGAGAGAUGAAAGCCUUCGGGCGCCAGUAGAGCAGCCUGCGUCCCAUUAUUUAGUCCUAGUUGGUGAGGUAACGGCUCACCAAGGGUACGAUGGGUAGCUGGUCUGAGAGGAUGAUCAGCCACACUGGAACUGAGACACGGUCCAGACUCCUACGGGAGGCAGCAGUGGGGAAUAUUGCGCAAUGGGCGAAAGCCUGACGCAGCCACGCCGCGUGAGUGAUGAAGGCCU